UNUGACUUGAGUGCAGAAGGGGAGAGUGGAAUUCCAUGUGUAGCGGUGAAAUGCGUAGAUAUAUGGAGGANCACCAGUGGCGAAAGCGGCUCUCUGGUCUGUCACUGACGCUGAGGCUCGAAAGCGUGGGUAGCGAACAGGAUUAGAUACCCUGGUAGUNCACGCCGUAAACGAUGAGUGCUAGGUGUUAGGCCCUUUCCGGGGCUUAGUGCCGGAGCUAACGCAAUAAGCACUCCGCCUGGGGAGUACGACCGCAAGGUUGAAACUCAAAGGAAUUGACGGGGGCCCGCACAAGCGGUGGAGCAUGUGGUUUAAUUCGAAGCAACGCGAAGAACCUUACCAGGUCUUGACAUCCCGAUGCUAUUCUUAGAGAUAGGAAGUUACUUCGGUACAUCGGAGACAGGUGGUGCAUGGUUGUCGUCAGCUCGUGUCGUGAGAUGUUGGGUUAAGUCCCGCAACGAGCGCAACCCUUAUUGUUAGUUGCCAUCAUUAAGUUGGGCACUCUAGCGAGACUGCCGGUAAUAAACCGGAGGAAGGUGGGGAUGACGUCAAAUCAUCAUGCCCCUUAUGACCUGGGCUACACACGUGCUACAAUGGUCGGUACAACGAGUUGCGAGCCGGUGACGGCAAGCUAAUCUCUGAAAGCCGAUCUCAGUUCGGAUUGGAGGCUGCAACU
rnacentral:rRNA from 1 species